rnacentral:misc_RNA from 1 species
AACGCACGAGACCUGCGGACCUGCGGAGGGAUCAUUAACAAAUCCCGUGGCGUGCGAGGGGUGUGCCGCGAGGCGCUCCCUUCGGACGAGCGAGCCGGGCCCCCGAGAGGGGGUUCGCCUGCCGUUCGCGGCAGAAAUGGACGUGAGCCGUGGUCUUAGUCGUCGCUGCCGCUGGGCAGCAGAACACACAACAACUUUCAACAAUGGAUCUCU